GCCGAGGUGGUGGAAUUGGUAUACACGCAUGCUUGAGGUGCAUGUGGGCGCAAGCCUGUGCAGGUUCAAGUCCUGUCCUCGGCA
rnacentral:tRNA from 1 species